GACGAACGCUGGCGGCGUGCUUAACACAUGCAAGUCGAACGGAAAGGCCCUGCUUUUGUGGGGUGCUCGAGUGGCGAACGGGUGAGUAACACGUGAGUAACCUGCCCUUGACUUUGGGAUAACUUCAGGAAACUGGGGCUAAUACCGGAUAGGAGCUCCUGCUGCAUGGUGGGGGUUGGAAAGUUUCGGCGGUUGGGGAUGGACUCGCGGCUUAUCAGCUUGUUGGUUGGGGAGUUGCUUACCAAGGCUUUGACGGGUAGCCGGCCUGAGAGGGUGACCGGCCACAUUGGGACUGAGAUACGGCCCAGACUCCUACGGGAGGCAGCAGUGGGGAAUAUUGCACAAUGGGCGGAAGCCUGAUGCAGCAACGCCGCGUGCGGGAUGACGGCCUUCGGGUUGUAAACCGCUUUAGCCUGUGACGAAGCGUGAGUGACGGUAAUGGGUAAAGAAGCACCGGCUAACUACGUG
rnacentral:rRNA from 1 species